rnacentral:rRNA from 1 species
AGAGUUUGAUCCUGGCUCAGAACGAACGCUGGCGGCGUGCCUAACACAUGCAAGUCGAGCGCGAAAACCCCUUCGGGGGCCAGUAGAGCGGCGCACGGGUGAGUAACACGUGGGUAAUCUGCCCUUAGGUUUGGGAUAACCCGGGGAAACUCGGGCUAAUACCAGAUAAGACCACGCGACGAGAGUCGUGUGGGAAAAGCGGAGGAUCUCUUCGGAGACUUCGUGCCAAAGGAUGAGCCCGCGGCCCAUCAGCUAGUUGGCGGGGUAAUGGCCCACCAAGGCUUAGACGGGUAGCUGGUCUGAGAGGAUGAUCAGCCACACUGGAACUGAGACACGGUCCAGACUCCUACGGGAGGCAGCAUUGGGGAAUCUUGCGCAAUGGGCGAAAGCCUGACGCAGCAACGCCGCGUGAGUGAUGAAGGUCUUCGGAUCGUAAAGCUCUGUCGGAGGGAACGAUGCCUUCGUUGGCUAAUAUCCAACGGAGGUGACGGUACUCUCAAAGGAAGCACCGGCUAACUCUGUGCCAGCAGCCGCGGUAAGGCAGAGGGUGCAAGCGUUGUUCGGAAUUAUUGGGCGUAAAGGGCGCGUAGGCGGCUAUGUAAGUUAGCUGUGAAAUCCUGGGGCUUAACCCCAGAAGUGCAGCUAAUACUGCGUAGCUUGAGUCCCGGAGAGGGUGGUGGAAUUCCCAGUGUAGAGGUGAAAUUCGUAGAUAUUGGGAGGAAUACCGGUGGCGAAGGCGACCACCUGGACGGAGACUGACGCUGAGGCGCGAAAGCGUGGGGAGCAAACAGGAUUAGAUACCCUGGUAGUCCACGCCGUAAACGAUGGGUACUAGGUGUUGCGGGUAUUGACCCCUGCAGUGCCGACGCUAACGCAUUAAGUACCCCGCCUGGGAAGUACGGCCGCAAGGCUAAAACUUAAAGGAAUUGAUGG